GUCAUUGUUAUAUAGUGGUGAGUAUUCCUGCCGCUCACGCGAGUGAUCCGGGUUCGAUCCCCGGCAACGGCG